GACGAACGCUGGCGGCGUGCUUAACACAUGCAAGUCGAACGGAAAGGCCCUGCUUUUGUGGGGUGCUCGAGUGGCGAACGGGUGAGUAACACGUGAGUAACCUUCCCUUGACUUUGGGAUAACUUCAGGAAACUGGGGCUAAUACCGGAUAGGAGCUCCUGCUGCAUGGUGGGGGUUGGAAAGUUUCGGCGGUUGGGGAUGGACUCGCGGCUUAUCAGCUUGUUGGUGGGGUAGUGGCUUACCAAGGCUUUGACGGGUAGCCGGCCUGAGAGGGUGAACGGCCACAUUGGGACUGAGAUACGGACCAGACUCCUACGGGAGGCAGCGGUGGGGAAUAUGGCACAAUGGGCGGAAGCCUGAUGCAGCAACGCCGCGUGCGGGAUGACGGCCUUCGGGUUGUAAACCGCUUUCGGCUGUGACGAAGCGUGAGUGACGGUAAUGGGUAAAGAAGCACCGGCUAACUACGUG
rnacentral:rRNA from 1 species